GGGCAUGUAGCUCAGUGGUUUAGCAUUUGCCUAGCAAGCAGGAGGCCCUGGAUUCAAUCCCCAGCACCG
rnacentral:tRNA from 1 species